GUGCUUGCACCUGAUUGAUUUUGGUCGCCAACGAGUGGCGGACGGGUGAGUAACACGUAGGUAACCUGCCCAGAAGCGGGGGACAACAUUUGGAAACAGAUGCUAAUACCGCAUAACAGCGUUGUUCGCAUGAACAACGCUUAAAAGAUGGCUUCUCGCUAUCACUUCUGGAUGGACCUGCGGUGCAUUAGCUUGUUGGUGGGGUAAUGGCCUACCAAGGCGAUGAUGCAUAGCCGAGUUGAGAGACUGAUCGGCCACAAUGGGACUGAGACACGGCCCAUACUCCUACGGGAGGCAGCAGUAGGGAAUCUUCCACAAUGGGCGCAAGCCUGAUGGAGCAACACCGCGUGAGUGAAGAAGGGUUUCGGCUCGUAAAGCUCUGUUGUUAAAGAAGAACACGUUGAGAGUAACUGUUCAUACGUUGACGGUAUUUAACCAGAAAGUCACGGCUAAUACGUGCCAGCAGCCGCGGUAAUACGUAGGUGGCAAGCGUUAUCCGGAUUUAUUGGGCGUAAAGAGAGUGCAGGCGGUUUUCUAAGUCUGAUGUGAAAGCCUUCGGCUUAACCGGAGAAGUGCAUCGGAAACUGGAUAACUUGAGUGCAGAAGAGGGUAGUGGAACUCCAGUGUAGCGGUGGAAUGCGUAGAUAUAUGGAAGAACACCAGUGGCGAAGGCGGCUACCUGGUCUGCAACUGACGCUGAGACUCGAAAGCAUGGGUAGCGAACAGGAUUAGAUACCCUGGUAGUCCAUGCCGUAAACGAUGAGUGCUAGGUGUUGGAGGGUUUCCGCCCUUCAGUGCCGGAGCUAACGCAUUAAGCACUCCGCCGGGGAGUACGACCGCAAGGUUGAAACUCAAAGGAAUUGACGGGGGCCCGCACAAGCGGUGGACAUGUGGUUUAAUUCGAAGCUACGCGAAGAACCUUACCAGGUCUUGACAUCUUGCGCCAACCCUAAAUAGGGCGUUUCCUUCGGGAACGCAAUGACAGGUGGUGCAUGGUCGUCGUCAGCUCGUGUCGUGAGAUGUUGGGUUAAGUCCCGCAACGAGCGCAACCCUUGUUACUAGUUGCCAGCAUUAAGUUGGGCACUCUAGUGAGACUGCCGGUGACAAACCGGAGGAAGGUGGGGACGACGUCAGAUCAUCAUGCCCCUUAUGACCUGGGCUACACACGUGCUACAAUGGACGGUACAACGAGUCGCGAACUCGCGAGGGCAAGCAAAUCUCUUAAAACCGUUCUCAGUUCGGACUGCAGGCUGCAACUCGCCUGCACGAAGUCGGAAUCGCUAGUAAUCGCGGAUCAGCAUGCCGCGGUGAAUACGUUCCCGGGCCUUGUACACACCGCCCGUCACACCAUGAGGAGUUUGUAACACCCAAAAGU
rnacentral:rRNA from 2 species